rnacentral:lncRNA from 10 species
CCCCGCUCCAUCUCCUUCCCUUCCCAGGCCGCAGCUGUCCUUUGUGGGGCGUCCAGGGUUCGCCCACAUCCACCUCCGCGCUGGGCACCUGGUGGUGCUUACAUCGCGUUUGGUGAAACGCAUCCUCCAGCCAUGCUAUGCUUGCAAAGAUGUCUCUGGUCAUUGGGAAGGACGGCAGCUUGGGAAGGAGGAUGUCCGUGAAUGUCAUCAGUGAGCCGGCGCCUGUCCCCCUCUACCCUGGAGCUGAAGGCAGCUUCUACACAAACCCUCCUGGGGCCUGCUCCGUGACUCAGUUUCCCUGUCAUGUGCUGCUGCUGCUUUUUUUUCUCUUUCAUUAGGGCUUCCCCUCCACCCUCCCUGCAGGGUCACUGGGCUGGUGCCCUGGGCAGGGAGGAACACCAGCAUGUGGCCUCAGACCUCAGAGUCCUUUCUGCUCGCUCAUUGACCUGUUUGCAACUCUGGACUCACAGCCGACGUUGCAAACUGAGGUUCCUGGAGUAAUUCUAACCCUUUGGGAAUCGCCCCACCCCCAGACUGUGAGCACACCAAGGGCAUGAUCCAUCUGUCCAGGCCACCCUUGUGUGCCACUGGAUGCAUGAAGGAAUGUUGACAUCAGCCUAAGGUCCUGCGUCAGCUCCCAGUAGCCUGAUGUCAGGACCUCAAAUGCAGGCUGAGAAGAGAACAUAGGAGAUGGGCCUUUUAUAAGGCCAACCAGAAGGUCAGAAGACUUGGGCUCCAGCCGGAUGCGGCGACUCACACCUGUAAU